UUACAGGUACCAGGAUUGGUACCAAGUAGAUGAUGUGAUUCUGUAGACCGGACACACAAAUGACACACAGCUCUUACACAUCUGUCAUUGCGCCUCGCUCAGCAGAAUGAGGAAACGUCACUUGUGACGUUGUGGUCGCAAAUUCUUUCACUGCCGUAAAGCCAGUCUAAAGCAAAACAGAGCGCCACUCUUCCCCCUGCUGGCUACAGGGUGGAAUGUACAUUCCAUGCAACAAGGGAUUUCAGUUCCCUGGUUAUAACAUUUCUAUACAAUAUACUGUUCACUUCAGACAUUGACAAACGUGUGUAAACACAUUGGUGGGUGUCACACAAUCAUGUCCAGUUCUUAAUUGAAUUGUAUCUAUGAGAAACAUGUAUUGUGAUUACUACUCCAGACCAAUAGGUGUCAAUGUGUGUCAGUGGAGCACAAGCAGUAAACAAAGAAACAGGAAGUGGUUGAAAUGAAAGAACGCAUUUGUAAUUUUAUUCUUUCCUUUGAAUUCCAGGUAGGAUUGCGACCCGGCGCUCUACCCCCUCGUCAGUGGUCGCAGCUGGCUGGGCUCUUUAAAAAGCCCGGUUUUGGACCAGUUCGCUCUCGCUGCAUAUGCUGUGACUUGGUCUUUGUUUGGUUAGGGCGCCUUGACCGUGUGCCAGAGGCUGGAGGGUGAAGAGUUGCAGUUUCGUCGCUGGUGAGAUUAAUGUGGGGCAGGAUGGCAUCCAACACGUUGCCACCAGCCUCCCCGUCGCUCUGGUACGCCUCGUCAGCC